CGAACUGCGAGAUUUACCGUGACUUNCGGAAUUCAGUGAAUCAUCGCAUCUUUGAACGCACAUUGCC
rnacentral:rRNA from 1 species